AACAUUCUAUAAUACUAACAUUUUAAAAUUUUUAACCUUGACCUCCAAUUGAAAAAAAAAACCUUUACCUUGACCUUAAACUGCAAUAGGGGGUCAUCAAUAUUUUUAAGUUAAUUUACGAAAUAUUGGAAUAGAACGAAUGCAUUACAUUGUAUAUGUAUGAUUCAUUCAACUGUUUAAAUUAAAAGGAAUGCAACUCAAUACCAUUGAUGUUAAUUUUAAUAUACUCUUUCAUUUGAAAAACUUUUACAUUGGCCUAAUGGCCUUGCACUUCCAUAUGGGGGCAUCAGUGUUAGAUAAAAACCAGUACAUUUUUGUACAUGUACAUUGUUUUUUAUAAUUACUACCGUAAUCAAAUAAUAGAACGAAAGGAAUAUUAAAUACAUUACAUUGUAUGGGUAUAAUUUAUUUAAUUUUUUUAUCAGGAGUAAACUCAAUGCUGUUGAUAUUUUUUUAACAUACAUCUUUGUACAAAUAAAUUUCUGAUUUCAUACA